CUGGGACUCUGUGGGGUUGGAGGACAGGCCACGCUGUCCCGUUUACCAGACACAGACCCGCUGAGACAGCUGGUGAGGGCUGUCUGUGGUGCUGCUGGUGGGUGUGGAGGAGGCGUGUGAGUCACACCAGCAAGAGCUCAUUUUCUAGAACACGCCAGAUAAUGGCCCAUUGUUUUUGCCUCUAAAUUCCAGCAUCUGGGGAUGACGUGGCUACUGUGACAUAACUCCGUGUAUAUCAGGCCUUUGAGAGAGGUGACUCCCAAGCCUGUAGCUUGUGUGUGACGCAGGGUUUCCUACGGCCGCAACAAUGAGGCCCUUGAGCCGCUGAGCCCCGCCGCGAAGGCCAAGCACACCAAGCAGUUCGUCCCCACGCUGUGUGCACCAGCUCCCGUGCCCGCAAAGCCACCAGAACACAGGCUCUGAGCCCACGUGCUCACACCGGAUCAUGAUUCGGCCUGCAGAGGAGGAGGGGUGAGCCCCAAACAGACCUUUAAAACCCCACGUCAGUUUUAGUGACAGCACAGCUGCUGCUUCAUUCCAGGCUCUUACUGGGAAGCUUCUGAAUCAGUGCUCUGCUUCCAGCACAGUCAACACGCCUGUGGCUUCAGCCACAUGUUCACAGGAGGACGUGCUGAGCUGGAUUUCUCACAAAAGAAGAGAAAAAGAUAUGACAUCCCAAUUUUUCAAAUGAGAGAGAGGCUGAACACCCCCAGAGGUCAGCCAGGAGGAUACCGAGAAGCCCUCCCUCAUCUGCUCGCUGAGGGCCCAGCAGUGCCAGUCAGCUCUAGGGCCCGGACUGCCUGGGGGCUCACGGCACAAGGAGUUCUGUCUGCUCAGAGGUUGCACGCUCCAAGUCUCCUGGGUGAUUUCUGGGAUUCAGUGGGGACCGGUGUCAUGCACUCCACUCUUCUAGCAGACACUCAAGACACACUGCUGCUGUUUGUGGUGCACUGCGUCUCCGAGAGCUGAGGUUGUGUCAUGGCAUCUACUCUGACACACUGAUUGGGUCAGCGGUGGGCCUGUGACACCUUAAGACUCAGGAAGGUCUCUCCGGGAACAUCCGGGAGAGGGCUUUUGCUCUUCCUCACUGGAUUCACUCUGAGAGGAUGACCGG